rnacentral:rRNA from 1 species
UACAGAGGGUGCAAGCGUUGUUCGGAAUUAUUGGGCGUAAAGCGCGUGUAGGCGGCUUUGCAAGUCGGGUGUGAAAGCCCUCAGCUCAACUGAGGAAGUGCGCCCGAAACUGCAUGGCUUGAGUACCGGAGAGGAUGGCGGAAUUCCCCAAGUAGAGGUGAAAUUCGUAGAUAUUGGGAGGAACACCAGUGGCGAAGGCGGCUCACUGGACCGGAACUGACGCUGAGGCGCGAAAGCGUGGGGAGCAAACAGG